CUGAGGAGAGCGGGCAAACGUCCCCGGAGGGUUUACUGCCCGCCAAGGGUAGAGAAAUAGCUCUGAGAGAACGGCUCCCCUCAGUUCUCCCCCUUCUCCUCCCCGGCAAACCAAAUCUUUUUUUAAAUUUCCAACCACAACGCAGCGAGCCAGGCGUUUAAUGUGCGCCCCCUUCUCCGCCACGGGCAAACCGGGAGAGGUGGGUGGCGAGGGGGCUCUGUCGGGGUGGGUAGAAGAGCGGCGGCUGCUUUAAAGACAGAAGAAAAGAAUGAAGGUCCCAGCUCCCCAGGCCCCUCGGAUCUCGGCGCCUGCCUCGCUCCACGCUAACCAGGGCAGGGCACAUGGAAGGAAAUGACACAUACCAGACAGCUGCCACUAAAUUCCUGCUAUACCUUGUCAAGUUGGAGCCUCACCAUUUUCCAGUGAAAUGGCUGGGAUGCAGAAGUGAUGGCUGGAGAUAGAGUAAUUAUCUUGGUUCAUGAGGAUCCCAUCCAGCAUACUACAUUACAUUUAAGCAUCACGUCUCCUGAGACUCCUCUUGGCUGUGACAGUUUUUGAGACUUUUCUUGUUUUUGAUGACCUUGACG